AUUGGUUGCAGGAGCAGGAACAUCUCCAGACCAAGUCAUGACACUCACUGCCCAGGGUGUAUUUAGUAUUUUACAGUGAAAAUGUCCCAGCAAGAAGUGGAAGCAUCAUGAAGCGACUAGUGGGCCCUGUGCUGGGGCUUCUGUUGGCCCAGGUUUGCUGUGUGAGAGGAGUGGAUGUGGAGCAGAGUCCCCCAGCCCUGAGUCUCCAGGAGGGAGCCAGCUCCACGCUCUGGUGCAAUUUUUCCAUCUCCACACAGAAUGUGUACUGGUAUCGUCAGAAGAACGGGGGCCGUCUCGACCACUUGUUUUCCAUUCCUUCAGGGACCAAGCGGAAUGGAAGAUUAAACGCCACGACAGUCACUACAGAACGCCGCAGCUCAUUGUGCAUUUCCUCUGCCCAGAUCACAGACUCAGCCACGUACUUCUGUGCUGGGGAGCACAGCACUCCACAGGCACCUGCAGCCUGUACAGGAACCCUCCGCGGGGCUCAGCCCCUCUUCCAGCCACAGUCACACCACGAGGCCACCACAGGGCGUUCACAUUGCUUACUAUUUAGCUACACUGGUACAAUUGUAACCACAGACGCUUUUUGGCAUACAGUUUUGGGACUUUUGGGUCUUGUCGUCCUUCUCAAUUUAGAUCUCUUUCUGCGCUAG